UACAGAGGGUGCAAGCGUUGUUCGGAAUUAUUGGGCGUAAAGCGCGUGUAGGCGGCCUUGCAAGUUGGGUGUGAAAGCCCUCGGCUUAACCGAGGAAGUGCGCCCAAAACUACAAGGCUUGAGUGCCGGAGAGGGUGGCGGAAUUCCCGGUGUAGAGGUGAAAUGCGCAGAUAUCAGGAAGAACACCUAUGGCGAAGGCAGCUCUCUGGGACGGUACUGACGCUGAGACGCGAAAGCGUGGGGAGCGAACAGG
rnacentral:rRNA from 1 species